rnacentral:lncRNA from 14 species
AGAGAACACACUGUACCAUUGCAUUGGCAGAGACACAUGGAUCUGCAGGCUGGAAGUGGGGAUUUGUGAGUCACUAUCCAGGCCGACAUUUCUCCAAAGACCAAUUGAGAGCAGUUACUCAUUGUUCACUGGAA